GAUGAACGCUGGCGGCGUGCCUAAUACAUGCAAGUCGAACGCGAGAGGAGGGAGCUUGCUCCCUCUGAUCGAGUGGCGGACGGGUGAGUAACACGUAGGCAACCUGCCCAUCAGCCGGGGAUAACUGCGGGAAACCGUGGCUAAUACCGGAUAAUCCUCUCCACCGCGGGGUGGGGAGUUGAAAGACGGUUUCGGCUGUCGCUGAUGGAUGGGCCUGCGGCGCAUUAGCUGGUUGGCGGGGUAACGGCCCACCAAGGCAACGAUGCGUAGCCGACCGGGGAGGGGGAUCGGCCCCACUGGGACUGAGACACGGCCCAGACUCCUACGGGAGGCAGCAGUAGGGAAUCUUCCGCACUGGACGCAAGUCUGACGGAGCAACGCCGCGUGAGUGAAGAAGGGUUUCGGCUCGUAAAACUCUGUUGUUAAGGAAGAACGCCAGGUAGAGUAACUGCUACCUGUGCGACGGUACUUAACCAGAAAGCCACGGCUAACUACGUGCCAGCAGCCGCCGUAA
rnacentral:rRNA from 1 species